AAGUGUGCGAGCAAUCUCAAUGAUGUGCCUAUUCUUUCUCUCUGCAACCCCAUUUUGCCGAGGGGUAUAAGGACAAGAGGUCUGAUGAAUAAUUCCUUGUGAAGUCAUAAACUGUUGAAAUUAAGAAGAUAAAUAUUCUAAGGCAUUAUCACUGCGAAAAGUGCGAAUAGAAACACCAAACUGAUUUUUAAUUUCAACACAAAAAUUUUGAAAUAUAAAAAACAACUCAAAAUGAUCUUUCAUUAAGAAAAUCCAAGUGCAGCUUGAAUGAUCAUCAAUCAAACUAACAAAAUAACGAAAUCCCAAGGGUGAACAGACUCUACUAGGAUCCCAUAUAUCAAAAUGAACUAAAGAAAAAGCAGACUCCGCAUGACUCUCAAUACUACGAGGAAAAGAGGCUCGGGUAUGUUUCCCGAGCUGACAUGACUCACACUCUAAUGUAGAUAAACAAUACAAACUAGGCACCAUCUUCUGAAGCUUGGAUAAGCUCGCAUGUCCUAAACGUCUGUGAAUUAGGUCUGGAGGAUCGGUAACUAGACAUGCCUCGGAGGAAGUAAGUGAGUUAAGGUAGUAAAGUCCUUCUAAUUCAAGUCAUGUUCCAAUCGUCUGCUUAGAUGUCCUAAACGUUUGUGAAUUAGGUCAGGAGGAUCUGUAACGAGACAAGCCUUGGAGGAAUUGAGUGAAUUGAGGUAGUAAAGACCUUCUGAUUCAAGUCUCGUUCCAAUCGUCUGCCCCGUACUGCGGUCCUGCAUAAUAAAGGAAUCAUCAAUAAAAUAUAUACCACAAUGGAGGUCACGAGUCAAACGACUAACAAAUGCAAGAUUAGAAGGACAGUCAGAGACAUAGAGAACGGAAUCUAGAGUGACAGAUGGUAGGGGAUUCGCUUGUCCAACUCCUUUUGCUUUGGUUUGAGACCUAUUGGCUAAAGUAACAGUGGGAAGAGACGGUGAAUACACAAUACUUGACAAAAGUGAUUUAUUACCAUAGAUAUAAUCAGAAGCGACUGAGUCCACAACCCAUUGUCCAAG
rnacentral:lncRNA from 1 species